rnacentral:rRNA from 1 species
ACGGAAGGCAGCAGUGGGGAAUAUUGCACAAUGGGCGAAAGCCUGAUGCAGCAACGCCGCGUGAAGGACGACGUAUUUCGGUAUGUAAACUUCUAUCAGCAGGGAGGAUAAUGACGGUACCUGACUAAGAAGCCCCGGCUAACUACGUGCCAGCAGCCGCGGUAAUACGUAGGGAGCAAGCGUUAUCCGGAUUUACUGGGUGUAAAGGGCGUGUAGGCGGGACAUCAAGUCAGAUGUGAAAGCACGAGGCUCAACUUCGUGUCUGCAUUUGAAACUGACGUUCUUGAGUGUUGGAGAGGCUAACGGAACUCCUAGUGUAGCGGUGAAAUGCGUAGAUAUUAGGAAGAACACCAGUGGCGAAGGCGGUUAGCUGGACAAUAACUGACGCUGAGGCGCGAAAGCACGGGGAGCAAACAGGAUUAGAUACCCUGGUA